rnacentral:tRNA from 1 species
UGGCGCAGUGGUUAAAGUGCUUGGCUGCUAACCAAAAGGGCGGUGGUUCGAACCCACC